AUUGAACGCUGGCGGCAGGCCUAAUACAUGCAAGUCGAACGGGCGGCGGACGGGUGAGUAAUUUCUGGGCAACUGCGUGACGGACGGGUCUAACUACUGGAACAGGUAGCUAAUACCGCUAAACAUCAGAUCUGCCUAGAUGGGUUUAGCUUGCUGGUGUGGUAACGGCUCACCAAGGCGACGAUCCCUAGCUGGUCUGUGAGGCGGACCAGCCACACUGGAACUGAGACACGGUCCAGACUCCUACGGGAGGCAGCAGUGGGGAAUAUUGCACAAUGGGCGAAAGCCUGACGCAGCCAUGCCGCGUGAGUGAAGAAGGCCUUCGGGUUGUAAAGUACUUUCGGCGGGGAAGCGUUACCCACACAGGAAGCAACGGCUAACUACGUGCCAGCAGCCGCGGUAAUAC
rnacentral:rRNA from 1 species